UGGCGGCUCGCAAAAGUAUACAUUUGUUUUUAAGGGGACUUCGCCCAGGGUUUCAGAAUAUUUGCCAAAGGCUCAGUGCACUACUUUUGUGAGAAUUAAUUUAACAUUAAAAGGUUGGAAAACCCCUGCUCUACUCUACUGAAUUAGACUCAACUGUACUGUACUCUACUUUGCUCUACUGUACAGCUGUCACGUACGUCGUAAGGAUGGGACCAAAACGCAGCAGGAAUGUGAAUACUCAUCUUCUUUAUUUAGAAGAAAACCAAAAUAAACACUUAAUCAAAAACAACGACGAAAAAUGGUCCUGUAAGGCACACAGCUACACACGGAACAACUACCCACAAAUCCCAAUGAAAAAACACCCCUAUUAAAUAGGACCUUCAAUUAGAGGCAACGAUGAACAGCUGCCUCCAAUUGAAGGUCAACCCAAUAAACUAAGCAUAGAAAUAGAAUAAAUAGACACAGACAUAGAAAUAGACUAACAUAGAACAUACCCCCCAAAAAACGAAACACACUAAACAAACACCCCCUGCCACGCCCUGACCAAACUACAAUAACAAACAACCCCUUUUACUGGUCAGGACGUGACAACAGCACUGAAUUAAACUGUACUGUCCUGCACUGUGCUGUACUCUGCUGAAUUUAACUCUACUAGACUCUACUGUACACUACUGAAUUAAACUGUACUGUCCUGCACUGUCACAAAUCAUAGGCCCCGGGACUAUGCUGUUUGCUCAAAAUAGGGAGUUGUUAAGAAACAAUCAAAUCUAUUGGUUCUACAGACAGAUUAGUCUUCUCUUUUCAGCAGUAGGCAUUUGCUUUCCAAACUGUGUUUUUCUUGCAAUUGUAUUUUGAAAUUUACAAAAGACUAACUGAUAGCAACCAACCAUAGAAAAAUAAUCCAUAGAUGGCAGUUCCAAUUCGAAUCAGGACUGGCAGCCAUCUCUAGUGUGCCCAAAUUGCCAAGGUAAUAGGUUCCAAAACACUUCUAUGGUUUAUACAGUUGAAGUCUGAAGUUUACAUACACUUAGGUUGGAGUCAUUAAAACUCAUUUUUCAACCACUCCACAAAUUUCUUGUUAAUAAACUAUAGUUUUGGCAAGUUGGUCAGGUCAUCUACUUUGUGCAUGACACAAGUAAUUGUUCCAACAAUUGUUUACAGAGAGAUUAUUUCACUUAUAAUUCACUGUAUCACAAUUCUAGUUGGUCAGAAGUUUACAUAAGUUGACUGUGCCUAUAAACACCUUGAAAAUUCCAGAAAUUAUGUCAUGGCUUUAGAAGCUUCUGAUAGGCUAAUUGACAUCAUUUGAGUCAAUUGGAGGUGCACCUGUGGAUGUAUUUCAAGGCCUACAUUCAAACUCAGUGCCUCUUUGCUUGACAUCAUGGGAAAAUCAAAAGAAAUCAGACAAGAACUCAGAAAAGAAAUUGUGGACCCUCACAAGUCUGGUUCAUCCUUGGGAGCAAUUUCCAAUUGCCUGAAGGUGCCACGUUCAUCUGUACAAACAAUAGUACGCAACUAUAAACACCAUGGGACCACGCAGCCGUCAUACACCUCAGGAAGGAGACGCGUCUCCUAGAGAUGAACGUACUUUGGUGCAAAAAGUGCAAAUCAAUCCCAGAACAACAGCAAAGGACCUUGUGAAGAUGCUGGAGGAAACGGGUACAAAAGUAUCUAUAUCCACAGUAAAACGAGUCCUAUAUCGACAUAACCUGAAAGGCCGCUCAGCAAGGAAGAAGCCACUGCUCCAAAACCGGCAUAAAAAAGCCAGACUACGGUUUGCAACUGUACAUGGGGACACAGAUGGUACUUUUUGUCCUCUGGUCUGAUGAAACAAAAAUAGAACUGUUUGGCCAUAAUGACCAUCAAUAUGUUUGGAGGAAAAAAAGGGACUCUUGCAUCUGAAGAACACCAUCCCAACCGUGAAGCACGGGGGUGGCAGCAUCAUGUUGUGGGGGUGCUUUGCUGCAGGAGGGACUGGUGCACUUCACAAAAUAGAUGGCAUCAUGAGGGAGGAAAAUGAUGUGGAUAUAUUGAAGCAACAUCUCAAGACAUCAGUCAGGAAGUUAAAACUUGGAUGCAAAUGGGUCUUCCAAAUGGACAAUGACCCCAAGCAUACUUCCAAAGUUGUGGCAAAAUGGCUUGAGAACAACAAAGUCAAGGUAUUGUAGUGGCCAUCACAAAGCCCUGACCUCAAUCCUAUAGAACAUUUGUGGCCCAUCUUUGGACACUGUGUUAACAAACCUCCAGAUGAGCUUCAAUGCCAUACAACACUCCUUCCGUGGCCUCCAACUGCUCUUAAACGCAAGCAAAACUAAAUGCAUGCUCUUCAACCGAUCGCUGCCCGCACCCACCCGCCCGUCUAGUAUCACUACUCUGGACGGUUCUGAUGUAGAAUAUGUGGACAACUACAAAUACCUAGGUGUCUGGUUAGACUGUAAACUCUCCUUCCAGACUCACAUUAAGCAUCUCCAAUCCAAAAUUAAAUCUACAAUCGGCUUCCUAUUUCGCAACAAAGCAUCCUUCAUGCUGCCAAACAUACCCUCGUAAAACUGACUAUCCUACCGAUCCUUGACUUCGGCGAUGUCAUUUACAAAAUAGCCUCCAACACUCUACUCAGCAAAUUGGAUGUAGUCUAUCACAGUGCCAUCCGUUUUGUCACCAAAGCCCCAUAUACUACCCACCACUGUGACCUGUAUGCUCUCAUUGACUGGCCCUCGCUUCAUAUUCGUUGCCAAACCCACUGGCCCCAGGUCAUCUAUAAGUCUUUGCUAGGUAAAGCCCCGCCUUAUCUCAGCUCACUGGUCACCAUUGCAGCACCCACCCGUAGCACACAUUCCAGCAGGUAUAUUUCACUGGUCACCCCCAAAGCCAACUCCUACUUUGGCCGCCUUUCCUUCCAGUUCUCGGCUGCCAAUGACUGGAACAAAUUGCAAAAAUCACUGAAGCUGGAGACUUAUAUCUCCCUCACUAACUUUAAGCAUCAGCUGUAAGAGCUGCUUACCGAUCAUUGUACCUGUACAUAGCCCAUCUGUAAAUAGCCCACCCAACUACCUCAUCACCAUGUUGUUAUUUAUUUUGCUCCUUUGCACCCCAGUAUCUCUACUUGCACAUUCAUCUUCUGCACAUCUAUCACUCCAGUGUUUAAUUGCUAAAUUGUAAUUAUUUUGCCACUAUGGCCUAUUUAUUGCCUUACCUCCCUAAUCUUACUACAUUUGCACACACUGUACGUAUAUAGACUUUUCUAUUGUGUUCUUGACUGUACGUUUGUUUAUCCCAUGUGUAACUCUGUGUUGUUUGUGUCGCACUGCUUUGCUCUAUCUUGGCCAGGUCGCAGUUGUAAAUGAGAACUUGUUCUCAACUGGCCUACCUAAAAUUAAAAAAUGUAAAAUAAACACAACACAAGCGCCCCUGCCAACUGUAGGCAUACCGUUAACUGCCAAAAUAAAGGAAACACUUGAGUAAAUGAUAAUACAAAGUAUAUAUUAUGGUGUGGGGUGCAUUUUCCUGGCAUGGUUGCGGUCUACUUGUAGAAUCUAUUCCAAGGCGCAUUGAAGCUGUUCUGGCAGCUCGCGGUGGCCCAAUGCCCUAUCAGGACACUUUAUGUUGGUGUUUCCUUUAGGUUGGCAGUUACCUGUACGUGCGUGUGAUAAACCUCAAUCCACUUUUAUUUUCUAGAAAGUAUUGAUCCUGUGUGGCCAAAUGAUGCUCUCUCGUGUAUUUUGAACAUUGAGAGUGGGCUCCUGUGGUUUUUCGCUCUUGGGCCCCUGUAAGCCCCUUCAUUAAGCUGGCCCUGUGUGCGGAUCUGUACUCUGCUAAAUUUAACUACUGGACUGUACUGUGCUGUGCUGUCCAAACUUGUGAAACAUAGACAUCUUUUCAACAUCCGGAAAAUACAUUUAGCUUUCUGGAUACAUUGUAACAAUGAGGAUAAUUGUCAGAUUGUGACAGGCAACCCCAACAUCAAUAUGACAGCCCCCCCAACCCCAAUGCUAAUUAAGAUGCUAGUUAGCCCCCCUGGAUUUUGAGUAAUAAACACUAUGACAACCAACCUGUGAGACAACCAACCCCUGGUCUCCCCUAUCCUGUAAACAAUGGUACUGUUCAAUGAUAGUACUGCACAUCUAUUUCACUUGCACACAUUUUCCUUGUGCACAGGAUAUUCAGCUGUACAGGGCUCUCUCUCUAGCUGCUAAUGAGAGAUUGAACUUUCGAAAAUGAAUAUUUUCAUUGCACACUCCCCCCACCACCAGUUUCGAUAGAAUUAAGAUCAAAGCGCGGUUCAGGAGCCCUUUGCCAUUAUUCACUGAGAACAAAGGUCAGCAAUGAUUCACUCAUUUCCUCAGUGUUAGUGCCUUUAGAAUACUGUACCAGUUGGACUAAUGUCAAUCGUAAUGAAAAAGCAUUGUGAAUUCGGGAAAAAAAAUUAAGAACCCAUUAAGAAGAUUGCAUUCUAGAACAUUUCCAGACUAUGUUGGUCAGACAAUGUGGAGGAGAGAGUGAUUGAGAGAGUGAUUAAAGCAGAAUGAUUAAGUCAGCCAUGCUCCCACGUCGUUCCCUCUCAGACGGAGGCAAAGAGCCAGGGACACAUACCUCCACACAAAGAGCUACAGCAGCCCCAUUUAGCCUCCAUUCGCUCUCCCUCAAUACUGACAAGUAAGCGCUCAAGAAAAGGCUUGUCUCAAUUUGAAGGAGGGAGAGAAAACGAGCCUUGUAAGCAGAUUACACGGGAGGAGGAGUUGAGGGGCUGCUUUUGGUAGAGUAAAAACUCUUGUGAGAGUGGAACAGAGCAGAGUGCAGUUGAUUGGAGCAGACAGGCUGAUUAUGGCACCUAGAGCUUGGAGGUAAUUUACCUGUCACCUGUCACUGGAGCUCCUACACCUGGCUGGCACCAGAGCCUUCCCCACUGUACUGUACCUCUGUGCUGUAGCAGCUAGCUCAACUACUCACCGCUUAACCACCCAGCUCCAAAUAACACCAGCUAUGCCUCACCACUCAAACAUCAACCACACAGACCUGGUUUGUACAUGGUUUCUUCCUAGGUUCCUGCCUUCUAGGGAGUUCUUCCUAGCCACUGUGCUUACAGCUGAAUGGAAAAGGAGAUAGCAUGUGCAGUGGAGGACAAGCUGUUAUGGACGACCAUAUAAUGUAAUACCACGACUAAAGAGGUUUGUUGUAAACACAUUGGCAUGUACAGUACUAUCCCCGAUGGGCAUGUUGUAGUAGUGUGUGAGGUUUAAGUUGAAACCUGCCGCCUAAAGCUGGUUGCGCAGCGCACACACUCCUACAGCAGCCCUUAUGUGCAUGACUGCCAGUGACUGAGUGUGUAGCUGUGUGCCAGUGUGUGUCGGCAGUGAGGGCUGCGUUUGAUUACUGCAUGGAGGCAUGUUUUAGUAACAUGGUGUAUUAGUUUUUGGAUAAUGUACAAACUAAGACAGUCUUUUGAAACCGUGACCUUGGUGUGUUUUAGGUGCUUGCCAACGGAAUGUGUUUCAAGUGGUUGAAAUGCAGGAGGACGGAAGGGGAUGCACAGUUGGGUUAUUAUUUUUGUACAUGACAGGACAUCCCCCACACAUAGCUCCCCCACAGUCAAGUUAUUUGUAAGUAGAAAGGAGAGUAACCCACAUAACAGUAAGAUUAUUAUUACACUGUGAGCAGUGUCAAGGCUAUCAGAGGAGAUUGCCAAAUGUAAAUCAUGUUUGAUUUUUGAUAUGACCAUUUUUGUUUAUGUGAUGAUGAGAAUUGGAAAUAUCAUUUGGGUGCAUAAAAAUAUGUUUUAAAACAGUGUAAAUAAGAUAACACUAGCAACAAAAAGGCACUUGCUGUCAUUUUGGUCAUAGGUGUGAUGUGAUGCAUGCAAGCCAGGGUUAAAUAGGCUAAUACUUGCCUAAUAUUAUCUUAUGAUUGCUUGUUAGUGAGGGAACAAUUGUUCUGCCCCUGUGUAUCUCAAAUCCAUACCAAAUCCAAAAUGUUUUUGAGGGGUAAUAUUUAACAUGUUUUUGCUAUAUAUAUAUAUAUAUAUUUUUUUUU
rnacentral:lncRNA from 1 species